GGGGGUGUAGCUCAGAUGGUAGAGCGCUCGCUUAGCAUGCGAGAGGUAAGGAGAUCGAUGCUCCUCUCCUCCA
rnacentral:tRNA from 1 species